UACGAAGGGGGCUAGCGUUGUUCGGAAUUACUGGGCGUAAAGCGCACGUAGGCGGCUUUCCAAGUUGGAGGUGAAAUCCCUGGGCUUAACCCAGGAACUGCCCCCAAGACUGGAAGGCUCGAGUCCGAGAGAGGUGAGUGGAAUUUCCAGUGUAGAGGUGAAAUUCGUAGAUAUUGGAAAGAACACCAGUGGCGAAGGCGGCUCACUGGCUCGGUACUGACGCUGAGGUGCGACAGCGUGGGGAGCAAAC
rnacentral:rRNA from 1 species